rnacentral:rRNA from 1 species
AUGAUGAGGGAGGAUGUUGUGGCUCGGGAGAGGCAUCUAGCGGACCACAAAGCAUCUUUGGAUGCCAGGGAGCAAGCGAUCUCCCUUCGGGAGGAGAAUCUUGAAGCCACCCUCCACGCCAAGGAUGAGAGUUUGGAGACCUUGGUGCAGCAGCACACCAAAGAACUGAAGGACGGGCAUGGGGCUGCUCUGGACGCCCUUACUGCUGAUCAUGCUGCCCAGCUGAAGAAGCUCGUUGAAGAUCUGGAUGCUGCAUCUUCUGCUAAGGCUGAGCUUGACCGGCAGGUGGCCAAACUGAAUGAAGACCUUGCCGGGAGUGCCAAGGAUGUGGAGGCACUCAAAGAGGAGGCACGGCAAGCAGAGCUUCACCUGGCUGAUGUGCAGUCGCAUCUUUCUUCCGAGCCUUGA